rnacentral:rRNA from 1 species
CCUACGGGAGGCAGCAGUGGGGAAUUUUGGACAAUGGGCGCAAGCCUGAUCCAGCAAUGCCGCGUGAGUGAAGAAGGCCCUUCGGGUUGUAAAGCUCUUUUGUCAGGGAAGAAACGGUGAGAGCUAAUAUCUCUUGCUAAUGACGGUACCUGAAGAAUAAGCACCGGCUAACUACGUGCCAGCAGCCGCGGUAAU